AAGAAAUGUCUGCCAAAAAAACUGGACAACCCCUAAGGUUACAUAUGGGCGACCCCGGUCACCAAGAUAAGAGCUAUCAACUCUCAGGGCUCUCCAAGUGUAGUUCCACAGACACAAAAAUGUGCUGCCGGGAAAAUAGCACUACCAGCCCAAGCCCUGGACACCCUACACACUAAUGUCUUCCAGACUGGAGCCUGCAAGAAUCAGCCAAAAACACCAGGGCGAUAAAUAGGACUAGAAGCCAUGAUUAUGAUAUGAAAGCUUUCUAUCCAUAGCUGGAAGAUGCUCCUUACACCAGAAAUCGAAGAUGGAAGCAGGUUUACUGGAAUCGGCUGGAGAUAAAUCAAUGUUCCUGGAUGGACUCAAGUGGAUCAUAUUCGUGCUGGUUACUUUGGGGAAUUUCUGGAUUGAGACUUGGCUUUAGUGUCCUGAGCAGUUGACAAAGUUACUUGCCACACUGAGGACUGAGGGUGGGGUCCACCUAGCCAUGGACUGUAAAGUUCUAAUCACUGGGUGCUUUUUACACAUGGAGGUUGACACUUGAGCUGUUGAUGAAGGUUGUUAAUUCUGCCUCAAAUUUUUCGGGGGGAUUGAAGAUGAUUUAUGUUAUUUUGCUUUACAGGCAGAAGUGCAAAUCAGUGCAAGCCUACUGAGCACGAGGUUGACCGCCACACCACACAAUGGGAGCUUUCUCUAUGUUCUAGAAUGGAGAGAAUAGUGCAGAGGCUUAUAGAAGCCAGAAGGGUCAAACUGCAAACUUUUACUGCAUUGUGCUGGGAAAUAGUUAAUGAUUUAAGGGCGAAUAUCUGAAUGUGUACAUAUACAGGAGUAGAUGAUUAGAUAGA